rnacentral:misc_RNA from 1 species
AGUCGUAACAAGGUAUCCGUAGGUGAACCUGCGGAUGGAUCAUUUCCACUAUUAAAACAAAAAAAGAGAAGGGAGAUUUUGUCAAUGUGCGAAUAUAAGUUUGCACUAGAUAAUUUCAAACUCUCUUUUUUUAUUACAUCAACAAACCUUUUAACGUGAAUUGUUAUUGUACAAAACAUUUUUAUAAACGUAAGUUUUAAGUUUUGAUAACAUUCAAAAUAAGAAGCAAACGUUAAACAAAUUAGAAUUGGUUUUUAUUUUAAAACAAAAAGUAACCAAAAACAACUCUUAACAACGGAUGUCUUGGUUCUC